GUGGGGAAUUUUGGACAAUGGGCGCAAGCCUGAUCCAGCAAUGCCGCGUGCAGGAUGAAGGCCUUCGGGUUGUAAACUGCUUUUGUACGGAACGAAAAGCCCUGGGUUAAUACCCUGGGGUCAUGACGGUACCGUAAGAAUAAGCACCGGCUAACUACGUGCCAGCAGCCGCGGUAAUACGUAGGGUGCGAGCGUUAAUCGGAAUUACUGGGCGUAAAGCGUGCGCAGGCGGUUUUGUAAGACAGAGGUGAAAUCCCCGGGCUCAACCUGGGAACUGCCUUUGUGACUGCAAGGCUAGAGUACGGCAGAGGGGGAUGGAAUUCCGCGUGUAGCAGUGAAAUGCGUAGAUAUGCGGAGGAACACCGAUGGCGAAGGCAAUCCCCUGGGCCUGUACUGACGCUCAUGCACGAAAGCGUGGGGAGCAAACAGGAUUAGAAACCCCAGUAGUCC
rnacentral:rRNA from 1 species